CCAAAAAAAAAAAAGGGGACUAAAAUUUUGGAGAAUUCCAGAGGCGCAGAGAUGCAGAGAGAAUCCGGUUCGGCUUUGCCGCUCCGAGCAAGACUCAUCGACUUCCUCAUCCAAUCUGCUCAGCGGCUCCAACUUUCUCCGACCGAGAAGUACACCGCCUUGUCACUCUUCGCUCGUAGAUUCUACCCGCGUUUUAUGUCCCAGUUGGAACAAGGCAAUGACAUGGGGAACUGGCUCUUGCAACCCUUGAGAGAGAGCAAUUUGCAGCUAUUUGCGCUUGUUUCGCUAUGGAUUUCCAACAAAAUACACUCUUCUCCUGCAUUGUCCGUGAAGAUAUUCAAGUCCUUGGGAGACAAAUGUAUCAGUGAACAACACUUCACCAUUCGAGAUUAUUCUGAAGCGGAGCUGGUCUUAAUGCAGGUAGUGAAUUUUGAGAUUUGUGUGGAAAAUGUUGCUUUCGUAUACUUUGAAGAGCUUUUACUCCAAUUCAAGGGAGUGUCCAAGGCUGGGGAACUAGUGAACUUUGAAGCAGGCAUGGACAUCAUGGAUCUACUUUAUGAAAAGGAGGAGACAACGAUGCUCUGUGCUAAUCCUCGUUUUCUCGCUGCAUCAGUCUUGGUUGCUUCAUAUGUCAUUACAGUUCCCAAACAGAAGUUGGAAUUUCCAGUUCUUCCCUGGGUUAAGUUUGUAACCGGAUGCGAAGAAGAGGAUAUUGUAGAGAUGGUCAGAGAAAUUCUUAAGCACGUAUUCCAUCUUUCUUGCUGAAGUCUGAAGAGGGCAACUUGUCUGUGUUUGGUACAAGUGAUGGAUGGGACACAAAGAACUGUCGGGUUUAGGGCUUUAGCGUUUACAAAUUACAAGGUUGGUGAGUUCCAUUGAUUGUUGUUGGUUUGAAGAGGGGGCGUAAUGGAGAUGAAUCCGAGGCGCUUUUGCAUGGUUGUGGACUUGUGGUAGCGUCAAAAAUUUCUUUUAAUCAAGGCAGUGCAACAAAGCAGCUCAUGACCUAGCUAAGUUCAAUUUCAUUUUGAACGAAAGUGAUACUUUCUAUUAUGCAGAGUUUGGACGGAAUGGCUUAUGAUCGGACAUUGAUUGUUGUAACAUUUAUAUCAAUUAAUGAAUUAUUAUAUUUUCAAUCAAAAAACAAAGGGUAAGGACCGUAAGGCUUUAAGCUGAGGAUAGGUUGUAUCUAGUUCUUAGUCGAAGUAUAUAAAUAGUGAUACUGAAGUGAGCAAGUGAACCACGUCAAGGCUGAAGUCCAACCAAAUUUGCUUUGCCUCAUCAAUAUAGGGGCCCGUACAAGUGCUGUUGUUGGAGGUCAAGUUUGGCGAGCUAGUCUUUUAUAUUCUCAUAUACAGUUUGGUCCAGACAUGUUGAAUACUUGAACAUGUUUUUGACUAUUGUUGGUAUGGUUAUGUAUAAUAAGCACACAUACAUUUGAUUUGUUGGGAUG